UGCAAUUGGAAAACGUUGUGUGCUGUCCCUCAGCAGAGCAGGUGUGCAGUACGACAACCAGGAUGUUGAGACAGAAAAUGGAAAGAAGAAGGGGCAUAGGAAGAAGAAUUUGCAGGCAGCAAAGGUCCCUGAAGCCUGCCUCACCUGUCUUCUCACCCCUAGAGAUGGACAUCUGCUGCCUCUUGUUCCCGUUUCCCCAGGCUGAAGCCUGGACCCUUUUGCUCCAGACUUACUGGCUCCAGAUGCCUACUUGCUCCUAACUUCAGUCCAGACGCCUAUUUAUUGACAGCCAGCUCCUGCUUUGUGGCUGCAGUUUGACAACCACUGACAUCCUUCUCCUUAUACUUACGGCUGCCUGCUCUUGACUCCCUCACCAGUGACUCCAAUCUGAAUCCCUGCUGCCUGCUCCUGACCCCCCUGGCAUAUGACUUUGUUGGGACCCUUGCUUCUUGACCUUAUCUGCUCCUGUUCCUCUACAUUAUGAUGCUUUAAAGGUCAAGUCCCUAAUGCCCACAUCCCAGUCAUACCCCUAAUAGUCACCUCAUGGGCUGUCUCAUAUUAGUUGCUCCAGGUGACUGCUCUAGAUCAUGGACGUGUCCUGUGGUCAUGCUGUUAUGCUUCCAAUUUCAUGCAGUGAGCAAAAACAAUCAUUACUUUCUCUGACCAAUGUCUUAUGUCGAGCCAUUCAAGCAUGUGGUAUAUCAUUAGGGUGACCAUAUGUCCUGGGCAAACAAGGACAGUCCCAACUUCUGUAAUCCCGUCCCAGCUGGCAGCAGCAAUGCAUGCCCAACUGCCUGCCUGGUGCACCAUGCCACUUGCAUCCCUGCCAGACUGUGCUCUGGGACUAUUCACCAACUGGCCAGGACCAGAUUAUGGAAGCUGGGACUGUCCUGGUUUGCUUGGGACAUAUGGUCAACCUAUAUACAUCACGUAUCUCUGGGAGUACCGUUACAAUGUAUGUGAGAUCCCCUAUCAGACCCUAUCAUAGAACCAGCAAGGGCUACAAAACAGUCACUUGCAUCAUGAUUAGACAACUGAGGGAAAGCAGGGGCUUGGGGCUAGGUCAGAGGGUGGGAGCCAUAUUACCAAAACCAGGGGCAAAUCCAGGGGGAGAGUCUGCAACCCAGGCUAGAGUCAGGAUACAGGAAUCAGAUGCUAAGUAUCAAUCUGGGGGAUAAUUUAAGCACUGAACUGCAGGUGGUAACUCAGGUAUCCGGCCCCCGGCAACAUGACGUUAGGCCACUCGUCAUGCAGACAGCAUGCAGAGGAUCCCAGAGGGGUGAGAGCCUGGAGCCACAAGUAGCCACCCAGGCAUUGACCGUUCCAGGGUAGAGUUCUUAUCUGCCAUGAGGGAGACCUGGGUUUGAAGGCAUCAGAGGGGUGAAUUGCUGGGGAGAGGGAAUUCACACUGGGUAAAAGAGUUCCUUCACUUCUUCCCAUCCCCCCUCUGGGGUGCCUCUGCCCUAAAUUUUGUGAACCUGCACCUUAUAGCUUGUGAAACCCUGUGCCUCAAGCUAGUUGUUGAUUUGCAUCUGCUAGAUGUAUAUGUGUACCUUACUUUACUGAAUCCCCUCUUGUUCUCCUGCACCCAUUUCCAUCUCCACCUCUUUGUCAUAGCUUAACCUGGUUCUUUUCCUAUUAAACCCGUAUAUGGUUAAGUUCCAACUGGUCUCAGCUCUACUCUGUGGGGGAUAGGAGGAAAGCACCUUCCCCUCCCACAGUAUACUAGCACUUGCUAAAUCCCUUCAGUUAGCGAGGGGGUACCUUGUCAGAGUA